AACCAAUUGCCCAAUCCCUUCCUCGCCUCAGUCCCGUGCCAGCCGCCGCCCAAACCCUAGCCCCCGUUUCCCUCGAUCCCCACAGCCUCUCCCGCCUCCUCCAUCCCUCGUCCUCCCAUCACCACGUCCUCUGCCAUGGAGCCUCGCCACCGCGUGCUACUCCUCCACCACACUGCCCUUCCACCUCGCCAUCCUUCUCCUCUCUGUCUAUGCGGUCGUCGGUGGCGCCUGGUUCCAAAUCCGGCGCAGGUUAGCCGAGUCGGCCGAUGGUGAGGUGAAGGAGCAGGGUAGGCGACCCGUCGCGAUGGGAUGAGGCUACAGGGAAGAGGGUCAUGUCGCGUGGUGGCCCAGAUGCAGCCGCCCCAUGGCCGGCCUCGACGAGCACGGCCUCGAUCCGGCCUCAGCCGGAGGACCUCGAGCCUAGGAGUGCGGCCUCGAUCGGGACUCGGCAUCUGGGGCGACGACGGAGGAGGAGGGGAAAGGAGGGGAGCAGCAGCCAGCAUCUGGGGCGGCGGCGGCUGGACUCCAUGAGCUGGCCGAGGUGCUUCAUGUCAAGGAAGCAGCUGACAGUUCAAGCUGACCUGCUGGUGUUGCUGCUGUGCUGGUCAGGGAGUGAGUCCACUGACAUACGGACACAAGAGAUAUUCAGUUAUGAGGAUUAGGAUAUUAAUGAUCGUUCAGUCAUUGAGGAUUAAAAGAGGCAUCAAUGCUCCAGUAGAGGUGGUAUUGAAGUUGUGGCUGUCAGUAGUCCUUUUAUUGAUGCUAACUACAUGGCCUAUAUGUUCAAGUAUGACUCCACUGAUGGCCCCUUUAAAGGAUCCAUUAAGGUUGUGGAUGAUUCAAUAUUGGAGAUUAAUGCGAAAAAAAUCACAACCACAAGCAAAAGGAAUUAUGAUAUUGGACAUUUCCACUGAACAUGAAGAGGGUACGUGUACGGACAUGUAGAAACUGGAGUAAAUUAACAUAAUCCCGUAGAAUGUAGUCGGAGAAUAGUACGCCAACUCAGUGAGGCAAGUACUGGCCUGUUUUGCCAUGCCUGUGAUAAAUGAAGGUUAGUUUAUGUAAUCUUAGUUAUCAAAUCAUUUUCUUAAAGUUUUGAUUAUGAAUCUAAGUUAUGGGAAAUAAGUGGAGUAAGAGGAAAUGGGGCGUUGUUAGGCGGGACCUUGCUACUGUUGCCUUGGGUUUUGGCAUCGAAGCACCACCAUGUAUGGCUAGCCUUCCAUGGCUACAUUGAGGGUCCCAAUCUGCAGGACCCCAUGCAGCGUGCAUUGGACAGUGUUGUGGAGGGUCCAAUUUCCUCAUGAUUUAAGAAGCUCUGUGUAGUACCAAACUUAAUUUGAGAACACUGGCGCCGAGGAUCUGCUGCUCUGUCUCGGGGCUCAGCGCCCUCUUGGGCGCAGAGGUUGGCGUGCUCUCCCUCUGCACCAGGGUUCUGAUGGCCGCGCUUCGUCUGGCAGCGCUAGACAACGGCAAGAAGGAAGAGCUCGGGCCACCCGCGACGCCAGGCCGCCGGCCCUCCUCCCUCGAGCUCAAGGCGGCGAAGAGAUGGUUGAGAUGGUGCUGCAGCUCCGCAUGUACUGGCUUCUACAACGUCUCUUAGAAUUUGGUUGCUACUUCUUGCUGAUCAGGUGCAAUGUAUUAAUUCAAGUAGUAUGUUAUGUACAAUUUGUCAAGAGCAAUCGGAUGUUAAUCUGCUAUGGGCAGCGGCGGUACAUGAAGGUGCAAGGCAGCAGCGACAUGUUCAUAGUACGCUAAAGGAUGAGCUCCUACUUGUUCUGAUGCUAGCUCCUUGCUGCAGAUAUACAAGCCUGCUUACAUCUCCCAAUAUCUCCUCCUGGUCAAGGCAAUUGCACAUGAUGAAGACGCUCAUUUUAGAUCAGUUCAUGGCAUAUGUGUCUAUUUGUGUCUAUUUCCUUUAGAUGGUUCUUCUGUGCGACGACUGGAAAAUAUAAGGUUUCUCAUGUGAUAUUGCAAUCAGGACAAAAAACAGAAUGAUUAAUUUUCACAAUUUGAUAUUUCAUAUUUUCCAGAAGUACGACUACCUUCGCACAGUACCCUUGCAUUUGUGUUCUUAUCAAAUAAGUUUCUUUCUGCAGAAUUUGUUCAGGUUUUGUCUCGCUCACACCUCAAGAUGCGAGUCUGGGAGUGCGGUGCUGGUAUAACUGAUAUCCCUUUGAUCUUCGUUAAAUUUUGUAGGAUAUGCAUUGUGCUUGAGCAUGAGAAAUCCUUUCCCUCCCUGCAUUAUCUUUAUAUGUUAUAAAAAUGUUACACAUGUUUUGGUCCUCCAAAAGAUUAUUAGCCCAUAAAUCCAUAAUGUUAAUAACUCUUAUGUAUGAUGAUUGAGUGAGAUAUCCUUUUAUCUCCAGGCAUUUCUUUCAUGUAGUGGAUAUACAAAAUAAACGGUAUGAUCUAGACUGUAGGAGCAACUGGUGCUUGUGGGACUGGUGCUUGCAGUUGUUGCAGCUGUUCUUGAGGGCCGAGCUGAAUGUAUCUGAGAAAGGUCUUUGCUUCAUUUUUUUCUUUCGAUGGGAUAAUGACUUUUCGUUUCAAAACACUUAGUAUGUGAUCUAUCCAUCAAAUUAUAAUAUAAUAAUUCAGCAGAAUCCCUUUAUUUGAACGAGCAAGAAUCUGUGGUGUGCUCCUGAGCUAUGUCCCCCUUUUCAAAAUGUUAGAAAGGCUAUCUUAACUUAGUCGUUGCAUAGAAAUUGGUUUUGGCUAUUAGGCUCAUUUCAUAUCUGCAUCACUUAUUUGAACAGACACACUCCACAACUGAACUCACAUAAGAGGGCAGAUAGAUGAUAUCUUGUCUGCUCAGUGAUUACCUAGAAUACUGGACUCUCCACCAACUUACAAAAAUAUUUUUUGCAGGUAUAUUUCCUUUAUCACUCCCCCAGCAGACAUGAGUUCUCGUGGCGGGGUCUUUCAUGCCGUCAUGUUAGGAAUUUAUUAUUGGAUUGCAUAUGAGGUUCUUCUUCAGGUUUCCACUUGUUUCUUACUCCCUCCGUCCGAAAAUACUUGUCCGAGGAAUGGAUGUAUCUAGAUGUAUUUUAAUUCUACAUACAUCCAUUUGUAUCCAUUUUGACGACAAGUAUUUCCGGACGGAGGGAGUACUUAAGUUAGCUAUCCAUUCUGGAUUUAACGUGAAUAUUGCCUUUGUAUUCCAUAUGAAAUUCUACUAUUUGUUUUAGCUUCUGUAGUUUUCUAUUCAUUAUCCCUAGACAUUAUCAUGUGUGUGUCGAUACGCUUCGUGGAUGGUGAGGUUUAAUAUCGCUUGCUUGUCGCCUUCUCUGCCCUCGACAUGCGGAAGGCCAAUAAAGGCGGGGACGAGUCAUGGAUCCUGCUGGCGAUGGCUACUGGUUGUAGACGAGAUUUAAGCAGAGGAAUCGCAAAAGAUGUUCUCUUUCCAAGAUUUUCACAUCAUAUUUGUCGUCGGAUCUGACUGCUUUACCAUAUUUUCCUGGUGUGGACGAUGUUAUAGAGUGAGCUACCAUCACUUCUCAUUACUGACUGUAAUCAAUAUAUAUGUGUUUAUGCCAUAAAAGAUGGAUAUUUGUCGAAGCCAUUGUCGUGUCAUGUAAUUACUUGCAGAUCAACUAUAUAGUUUUGUUCGGAUUGUAAAGUGGAAACGAUAAAACCCUACAACUCCUGUGUGAUUGUCAUUUGAUUAUUUACUUCCUCAAGUAGUAUGGAUAUGGUACUGCCAGGAUAUUAAGUAUAUUCAUGAAGUUGUAUAAACCACGUUCUAUGAUUCACUUCUUUUAUGCAUAUUUACUUUCCAGUUUUAGGACUGAAAUCCAUCCAUUGUAAUGAAUUUGGUUGUAUGGGCAUUACCUAUUUGACUUA